ACAGACCUCGCUUAGAAGAUCAGCGAUCGUCAUCGAAUUCAAGGGUGAGCCAGUUCUUCCGGGCUGCCAUGAGUUCUCUUUCGUUUAUGUCCCCAUUUCGAACUUAGACUAUUGCAUUAGGAUUUCUUAUGUUUAGUUGGGUUUUACCCAUUUUCUUAGACUUGUUGAACUUUAGAUGUUUUGGUACAUUGACUUUCAGGUUCUAGGUAUUAUUCUG
rnacentral:lncRNA from 1 species